rnacentral:rRNA from 1 species
ACGGAAGGCAGCAGUGGGGAAUAUUGCACAAUGGGCGAAAGCCUGAUGCAGCGACGCCGCGUGAGUGAAGAAGUAUUUCGGUAUGUAAAGCUCUAUCAGCAGGGAAGAUAAUGACGGUACCUGACUAAGAAGCACCGGCUAAAUACGUGCCAGCAGCCGCGGUAAUACGUAUGGUGCAAGCGUUAUCCGGAUUUACUGGGUGUAAAGGGAGCGUAGGCGGUCUGAUAAGUCUGAAGUGAAAGCCCGGGGCUCAACCGCGGGAUUGCUUUGGAAACUGUUGGACUAGAGUGUCGGAGGGGCAAGUGGAAUUCCUAGUGUAGCGGUGAAAUGCGUAGAUAUUAGGAGGAACACCAGUGGCGAAGGCGGCUUGCUGGACGAUUACUGACGCUGAGACUCGAAAGCGUGGGGAGCAAACAGGAUUAGAUACCCUGGUA